rnacentral:rRNA from 1 species
UACGGAGGGUGCGAGCGUUAUCCGGAUUCACUGGGUUUAAAGGGUGCGUAGGUGGGAAUGUAAGUCAGUGGUGAAAUCUCUGAGCUUAACUCAGAAACUGCCAUUGAUACUAUGUUUCUUGAAUUUUCUGGAGGUCAGCGGAAUAUGUCAUGUAGCGGUGAAAUGCUUAGAUAUGACAUAGAACACCAAUUGCGAAAGGCAGCUGGCUACAGGGAUAUUGACACUGAGGCACGAAAGCGUGGGGGAUCAAACAGG